GACGAACGCUGGCGGCGUGCUUAACACAUGCAAGUCGAACGGAAAGGCCCUGCUUUUGUGGGGUGCUCGAGUGGCGAACGGGUGAGUAACACGUGAGUAACCUCCCCUUGACUUUGGGAUAACUUCAGGAAACUGGGGCUAAUACCGGAUAGGAGCUCCUGCUGCAUGGUGGGGGUUGGAAAGUUUCGGCGGUGGGGGAUGGACUCGCGGCUUAUCAGCUUGUUGGUGGGGUAGUGGCUUACCAAGGCUUUGACGGGUAGCCGGCCUGAGAGGGUGACCGGCCACAUUGGGACUGAGAUACGGCCCAGACUCCUACGGGAGGCAGCAGUGGGGAAUAUUGCACAAUGGGCGGAAGCCUGAUGCAGCAACGCCGCGUGCGGGAUGACGGCCUUCGGGUUGUAAACCGCUUUCGCCUGUGACGAAGCGUGAGUGACGGUAAUGGGUAAAGAAGCACCGGCUAACUACGUG
rnacentral:rRNA from 1 species